UGGUUAUUCCAACAUUCAAAUCAUGAAAAUGGGUCCAUCUCAAAUUCCCAAAACAUUCUCUAUCUUUUUCCUAUUUCUAGUUUCUUCAUUCCCCAUUCUUGGAUUAUCAUCAAAUGAACUCACAAACUUUGUGUAUAAAGGUUGUGCUAACCAGAAAUUCCAAGACCCAUCUGGGAUUUACUCACAAACACUAAACACCCUUUUUGAAAACUUGGUUUCUCAAUCUUCUUCCAAUAAGUUCUACAAAACCACCGCUGGUAAUGGACAGUCAGCAAUUUCCGGUCUUUUUCAAUGCAGAGGCGAUCUUACAAGCGAUGACUGUAACCAUUGUGUUAAGAAAAUCCCCGAUAUGUCUAGGAAGCUGUGUGGUCAAUCUAUUGCUGCUAGGAUUCAGCUUAAUGGGUGUUAUUUGAGGUAUGAAAUGGUGGGAUUUCAGACGGUUGGAGCUAAUGAGUUGCUGUUCAAGGUAUGUGGAGAAAAUCAGGCGAGUGGAGCUGGGUUUGGUGAUAGGCUUGAUACAGCUCUAGGAGAAAUAGCUAAAGGGGUUUCGAGUGGGAAUAAUGGGUUUUACGCAGGUGGAUAUCAGUCGGUGUAUGUUUUGGGUCAGUGUGAAGGUGAUUUGGGAAGUGGGGACUGUGUGAACUGUGUGAAAAAUGGUGCUGGCAGAGCUAAAAGUGAGUGUGGGAACUCGAUUUCUGCACAAAUUUAUCUGCAACAGUGCUACAUUAGCUACACCUAUUAUCCUAAUGGUGUGCCAAGUAAAUCACUAUCUCCCUCAGGAACAAGACAGAAUACUCAAAAGACUGUUGCUAUAGUCUUGGGUGGACUGGUUGGUGUGGGGUUAGGAGUUGCUUGUUUGCUAUUUACAAGAUCAGCAUUCAAGAAAAAGGGUUAUUCUAAGUAUGGAGGAUAAGGUCACAUAUAGCUAAAAGGAAUGACAAAAUGGGCAGAGAUUUUGAGGUGGCUUUGUAGAAAAGACAAAAGUGUAAAGUUAGGUGAAUGAUUGGCCUUAUAUAUAUAUAUUGUAAAGGAGGUGUGGUGAUGAAGGAAAGGAAAAUCUGCUUUUUAUGCUUUAUUUUGGCUCCAGUUUCCCACUAUUUUCCUUCUUAACCAAGUUUUGGUCCUAUUUUUCUCUUUAAACUUUUGAAUGCAAGUAGAAGUAAUAGUGGUAAAUUAAACUCAAAAGAGCUCUUGUCUCUAUUAGACUAAGCACUAGGCAUUCAUUGUAGUAA
rnacentral:misc_RNA from 1 species